rnacentral:rRNA from 1 species
AUGGAGACCGAGGUGGUUGGGCCCGACGGCCUCCCGCAGGCCGCCACCGAGCUGGACCUGGACGCCGUGGCCGUGGCCGUCCCCGCCCAUCGGCCGGCGCCGACGCGGCGGACCAUCGCGACCUUCCCUGACAGCCUCGACGGCGGGUUGAACCUCUACUGCUCCCUGCUGGCCUCGUGCGACGGCCUCCUCCUCAUCCGCGACGCCGCCCGGCAGUACCUCGUGCUUAACCCCGCGACGUGGCAGUGGAGCGACCUGCCGCGGCUGGCCGUACAGCAGGGUGGCCGCGCCGUGACACAGGAGUCCGGCUUCUACUUCCACCAGCCCUCCGGCGAGUACCGGCUACUGUGCCACGUCUCGUACGAGUACGGCGAGUUCGACGCCCAAGCGCCACACUACUGCGUCUUGUCGACCGGCGCCAAGGAGCCGCGGCGACUGAUGAGCGUGCAAGCCACGCCCAUGGAGAUGGAGAUGGAGGAGACCAUCGCCUACCACCAGUGGCUGCCCCCUAAAUCCCGAUGCUUCAUGAACCUUAUGACGCCGGCGGAGCUUCACGGCCGCCUGCACUGGCUGCAGCACGUGGAGGCCGGGCUCACGGGUCAGAUGGUGGCGUUCGACACGGCGGCCGAGACGUUCCGCCGGAUGCCGCCUCCGCCCGUCACCUGCAAGAUGCACUCGCACCUGCUCGUCGCGGACGGGUCGCUUAUGGUGGCCGAGCUGGGCCACCGAUUCAUGGACCUCUGGUUUCUCGAGGGCUACGGCGGUGGCGCGGCCGAGGGGACGUGGGAGCACCGGCACCGCGUCGACAUGCGGUGGCCGAUCACAGGGCCGUUGCUCGUGGCGGGUGGCGACGGAGGGGACGUCGUCCUGGGACAUAACCAAGGCGUGGUGGCGUACAACCUGAGGAGCAGGACCGUCAGGCAGGUGGUCGACGUCGACGAGUCGGGAGACGAACCUCUUCUUCUCCCGUCACGGUACGUGUUUCGGGAGAGCCUGGUUCGGCACGGCUUCUUCGAGGAGCGGAAGCAUCCCGGCUUGCCGUCGUUCAGAUGCGGCCCAUGA